AGCGAACGCUGGCGGCAGGCUUAACACAUGCAAGUCGAACGCCCCGCAAGGGGAGUGGCAGACGGGUGAGUAACACGUGGGAACGUACCCUUUGGUUCGGAAUAACUCAGGGAAACUUGAGCUAAUACCGGAUAAGCCCUUAUGGGGAAAGAUUUAUCGCCGAAGGAUCGGCCCGCGUCCGAUUAGCUAGUUGGUGAGGUAACGGCUCACCAAGGCGACGAUCGGUAGCUGGUCUGAGAGGAUGAUCAGCCACACUGGGACUGAGACACGGCCCAGACUCCUACGGGAGGCAGCAGUGGGGAAUAUUGGACAAUGGGGGCAACCCUGAUCCAGCCAUGCCGCGUGAGUGAUGAAGGCCCUAGGGUUGUAAAGCUCUUUCGGCGGGGACGAUAAUGACGGUACCCGCAGAAGAAGCCCCGGCUAACUUCGUGCCAGCCGCCGCGGUAA
rnacentral:rRNA from 1 species